UACAGAGGGUGCAAGCGUUGUUCGGAAUUAUUGGGCGUAAAGCGCGUGUAGGCGGCUUUGCAAGUCGGGUGUGAAAGCCCUCAGCUCAACUGAGGAAGUGCGCCCGAAACUGCAGAGCUUGAGUGCCGGAGAGGGUGGCGGAAUUCCCCAAGUAGAGGUGAAAAUUCGUAGAUAUGGGGAGGAACACCGGUGGCGAAGGCGGCCAC
rnacentral:rRNA from 1 species